ACGGGUUAAUAUUCCCGUACUUGGUGUUACUGCGAAGGGGGGACGGAGAAGGCUAUGUUGGCCGGGCGACGGUUGUCCCGGUUUAAGCGUGUAGGUGUGUGUUCCAGGUAAAUCCGGUUCACUUUAACACUGAGGCGUGACGACGAGGCACUACGGUGCUGAAGCAACAAAUGCCCUGCUUCCAGGAAAAGCCUCUAAGCAUCAGGUAACAUCAAAUCGUACCCCAAACCGACACAGGUGGUCAGGUAGAGAAUACCAAGGCGCUUGAGAGAACUCGGGUGAAGGAACUAGGCAAAAUGGUGCCGUAACUUCGGGAGAAGGCACGCUGACACGUAGGUGAAGUGAUUUACUCACGGAGCUGAAGUCAGUCGAAGAUACCAGCUGGCUGCAACUGUUUAUUAAAAACACAGCACUGUGCAAACACGAAAGUGGACGUAUACGGUGUGACGCCUGCCCGGUGCCGGAAGGUUAAUUGAUGGGGUCAGCGCAAGCGAAGCUCCUGAUCGAAGCCCCGGUAAACGGCGGCCGUAACUAUAACGGUCCUAAGGUAGCGAAAUUCCUUGUCGGGUAAGUUCCGACCUGCACGAAUGGCGUAAUGAUGGCCAGGCUGUCUCCACCCGAGACUCAGUGAAAUUGAACUCGCUGUGAAGAUGCAGUGUACCCGCGGCAAGACGGAAAGACCCCGUGAACCUUUACUAUAGCUUGACACUGAACAUUGAGCCUUGAUGUGUAGGAUAGGUGGGAGGCUUUGAAGCGUGGACGCCAGUCUGCGUGGAGCCGACCUUGAAAUACCACCCUUUAAUGUUUGAUGUUCUAACGUGGACCCGUGAUCCGGGUUGCGGACAGUGUCUGGUGGGUAGUUUGACUGGGGCGGUCUCCUCCUAAAGAGUAACGGAGGAGCACGAAGGUUGGCUAAUCCUGGUCGGACAUCAGGAGGUUAGUGCAAUGGCAUAAGCCAGCUUGACUGCGAGCGUGACGGCGCGAGCAGGUGCGAAAGCAGGUCAUAGUGAUCCGGUGGUUCUGAAUGGAAGGGCCAUCGCUCAACGGAUAAAAGGUACUCCGGGGAUAACAGGCUGAUACCGCCCAAGAGUUCAUAUCGACGGCGGUGUUUGGCACCUCGAUGUCGGCUCAUCACAUCCUGGGGCUGAAGUAGGUCCCAAGGGUAUGGCUGUUCGCCAUUUAAAGUGGUACGCGAGCUGGGUUUAGAACGUCGUGAGACAGUUCGGUCCCUAUCUGCCGUGGGCGCUGGAGAACUGAGGGGGGCUGCUCCUAGUACGAGAGGACCGGAGUGGACGCAUCACUGGUGUUCGGGUUGUCAUGCCAAUGGCACUGCCCGGUAGCUAAAUGCGGAAGAGAUAAGUGCUGAAAGCAUCUAAGCACGAAACUUGCCCCGAGAUGAGUUCUCCCUGAGACUUAAAGUCUCCUGAAGGAACGUUGAAGACGACGACGUUGAUAGGCCGGGUGUGUAAGCGCAGCGAUGCGUUGAGCUAACCGGUACUAAUGAACCGUGAGGCUUAACCUUAC
rnacentral:rRNA from 1 species